UCAAAGGUCAAGCGCACUGGACAUCGAAGUAGCAAUAUGGUUCGGUUUGUCAUGCCAUUUGUUUUUUACACUCAGAAAAGAGGUAGUUUAUACCUAUUACCAACACCCUUUGGGAGAUUGGGGUAAGCGGGGGGUAUUCUUAAGCAUUGCUCACAGUACCUCUUGUAGUUGAUAUCUGUAUUAAUAUAGGGAGAUGACCAUUCUACAUUGAUCUGCUGCCUUUUAAUGGGAUUUGAAACUGUGAAGAGAUGUAGGAGAGUUUGACUUGUAGAUGGGUAGUUCUACUUUCACUUUAAACGCAAGAUUACGACUGAAGUUCUACCAUUUGGAAACAAGUUCUCCAUCACAAACAAGGGAAUAUGUUGCACACAUUGAACAGUCUCCAGUAUAGCACAGAACAGUGGCCUCAAGGACUUUAGGAGAUCCAGCUCAUCACUUCAAAGGGCCAUAACUCUGCUGUUGAGAGUACCUAUCCAAUGAAACUUCAUAGAGAUGUUCAGUAUGACUGCAGGAGUUUCUGUGCCGAGUUUCAUGAAAAUCAAACAAGAUUUGCGUCUUUAUUAGGUUACAGACUACUAAUUUUACCCCUAUUUCAUUGACCACGCAAGUAGUGCCUGUUUAUAAAUAGAGGUUUUUAAAAAUUCUUGGGGAUGUAUGUGGGGUGGAUUUGUGUUAUUAUAGGGCAUAGAUGGAAAGAAGAGGGUCUGAAAAAAAUUAUAAUAAUGGGAAAUUCUGCUCUUAAGUGUGUAGUAGAAAGGGUGUAAAUAGGCCAUUUUUUACCUUCUUCACAAAGGGAAAUAUGCAGGGUAGGGGUUACUUGCGGUGUCAUAACAGGACGUGUGUGGUGGAUUUUCUUGAGAUUCACAAAUAUUUUUGGACUUGAAUUGCUCUAAGUCUGUACCAAAUUUCAGGUAAGUUGAGGCGGUGGAAUUUUUUAUAUUAAUUUUUAUGUUAUAAAGGAAUGUAUAGCAAAAUAAUUGGUAGUCUGUGUCCAUGUUGUUCGAGUGACCUUCACUUGCGCAUCUCGAACCCGAGCUCUAAAAUAAUUGGAUCACACCCAAUAUUUUCAAACAGUCAUUUGGACCGACAUUUUCUAGAAAAUUAUUGGUACAGCGAAAAUUUUACCGGCCUUGCCGACAGGACCGACAGUUUUCGACAACUCUGAGUCUGUGCUACAACAACGGGACUAAAAAAAUUGUACAGUCAUGAAUAUCAUUUGUCAGUAAUUACACUUAAUUUCUACAAAAAAUGUUUAACUGGCAUUUAAUUACAAUAAGAAGUAGUAAAUUUUCUAUCUAUUCCUUACAUGUAUAAUGACGCAAUCACUUGAGGACCCCAUUGUGUUGUGUACAACCCUGUAUUCAGGGGAAAUAACUUGAGUUAGUGAGUCAAUCGUUUUUGGCUCGUCGAUUCCGAUUAUUGAUUCCAUUUUUCAUAAUCAAUUGUCGCCUGAACACAAAUCUAUAAUAAACGAGUUAAUUACGUAUGCAUUUUAAUUAAUUAACUUGAAAAGGGAGAAUGCUUCCGAUAUUAUCAUCCUCAUUCAUGGCUAUUGAAAUCAAUCAACAAUCAUAAAGUUGAUAACUAUCCAAGAUUCCUAUGUGCACGUCAGGAUAUAAAAGGGGGGUAAGAGUCGGAGAAGUAUCGGAUUAGUUGAUAACUUGAUAUGUAUCCCUAUAUCCAUGGAAAGCCAAGUCAGACAUUAGGAAAUUUUGGAGGUUUUUAGCUCACCUGAACCGAAGGUUCAAGUGAGCUUUUCUGAUCGCUUUUUGUCCGUCGUCUGUCUGUCUGUUAAACUUUUCACAUUUUCGACUUCUUCUCCAGAACCACUGGGCCAAUUUCAACCAAACAUGGCCAAAAGCAUCCUUGGGUAAAGGGCUUUCAAGUUUGUUCAAAUGAAGGGCCAUAACCCUUUCAAAGGGGAGAUAAUCACAAAAAUGCAAAAAUAAGGUGGGGUCAUUUAAAGAUCUUCUCAAGAACCACUGGGCCAGAAAAGCUAAAAUUUACCUGAAAGCUUCCUGACAUAGAGCAGAUUCAAGUUUGUUCAAAUCAUGGCCCCCGGGGAUAGGAUGGUGCCCCAAGGGGGGAUCAAAGUUUUACACACAAAUAUAUAGGGAAAAACUUUAAAAAUCUUCUUCUCAAGAACCACCAGUGCUCGAGCUGGGCUUCGCCAUUUUCGCCAAUGGCGAAUUUUUUUCAAAAAUGGCGAAAAGAAAUUGAAAGUGGCGAAAAUCUCAUUUUGCAAUAAAUUGUAUUUUUAAUCCUUUGUCAGUGACACAUUAUCGCCUGUUUGUUUAUGCAGUCAAAAUCUGUUUAUUCAGUCAACGCGUGCGACCGGAAAUCUCGCGUCGCUCCAGUGCACACAGAGCUGGUCACAGCCUCAGGUAAUUUAUGGCAGCAAAAAAGUCGGUGAUUAUGUAAUAAAGUACAUCGGACAGCUGUUUACCCUGCUGUGGUCAAUUGUUUAACAUUUAAAGUCGUAUUCAUUAUCGUGUUAUCAUCUCCACAUUAAUGUCAAUUCUUAACCAGAGAACCGACCGGUAAUUAAAUUGGCCGUAUUAUUGUGUAUAAUGUAUACAUGUACAUGAAUACAUCAAUUGUUUGUUUUUGCGGCCAAACUUGUUGAUUACAAGAUUUUGAUUUUGAUGUGUUUGAUUUUAGUUCGAAUAUUUCAUAAACAAUGCGGUCGGUCACCAUUGAUAUGGACAUAGCAAUUUUAAUAAAUAAUUUUCUUUGAAGUUCGGUGCGCAACAGUAUAAAAAUGCUAAUCUCAUAAGACUAUGCACCCCAUUCUAUUUUGACACUAAACUUGUAGCUUCUGACCCUAGUCAGUCUAAAAUUAAAAAAUAUCUAUGUUUGGCUUUACAGUCAACCCCACCUGCUCAAACAUCUGAUUCUCUCCAAAUUGCAAAAUCUUCCAUACAAAAACGGAAAUUUAAUAGGGAAUGGUUGAGAUACGACUCUAAAUUGGGCUUGAUGUUUUGUGACAUCUGCAUUUCGGCCAAUGUACACAAUGUUUUCACUGAGGGGUGUAGCAUCAUGAAGUUUAUAUUUAUAUGAUUUAUUAUCUGAAUUUUGAUUUCCAUAAUAGAAUUUAUCAAACAAAUCAACUUCUUAUUAUUUCAGAAAGAAAUGUUUAAGUAUGGUAGCUGGAUAUGAUUAAGUAAUGUAACUGAUUCAAAAUGCUAAAAUAAGUGUAAUGAAUAAAAUAAUAUAUAAUAUGAUGGAAAUAAUUGUAAAGCAUGUGAUUAUUUGUGCCGCGCCACUCCCCGAAAAAGUGGCGAAAGGGAAUUCUGGUCCAAUGGGAGCACUGAGAACCACUAAGCCAGAAAAUCUGAGAUUUACAUGAAAGCUUCCUGACAUAAUGCAGAUUCAAGUUUGUUCAAAUCUUGGACCCCGGCGGUUGGAUGGGGCCACAAUAGGCGAUCAAAGUUUUACAUACAAAUAUAUAGGAAAAAUCUUUAAAAAUCUUCUUCUCAAGAACCACUGAGCCAGAAAAGCUGAUUUUUACAUGAAAACUUUCUGACAUAGUGCAGAUUCAAGUUUGUUCAAAUCAUGCCCCCCGGGGGUAGGAUGGGGCCACAAGGGGGGAUCAAAGUUUUACAUACAAAUAUAUAGGGAAAAACUUUAAAAAUCUUCUUCUCAAGAACCACUAAGCCAGAAAAGCUGAGAUUUACAUGAAAGCUUCCUGGCAUAAUGCAGAUUCAUGUUUGUUCAAAUCAUG